rnacentral:rRNA from 1 species
UACAGAGGUGGCAAGCGUUAUCCGGAAUUAUUGGGCGUAAAGAGCGCGCAGGUGGUUAAUUAAGUCUGAUGUGAAAGCCCACGGCUUAACCGUGGAGGGUCAUUGGAAACUGGUUGACUUGAGUGCAGAAGAGGGAAGUGGAAUUCCAUGUGUAGCGGUGAAAUGCGUAGAGAUAUGGAGGAACACCAGUGGCGAAGGCGGCUUCCUGGUCUGCAACUGACACUGAGGCGCGGAAGCGUGGGGAGCAAACAGG